AAACCAUGGUGAGGGCAUUUCCUAAAAAUUUCCUUAAAUCUCUCCCAACUCUCAUAAAUUGAUUUUCUUUCAAAUUGGGUAAAGGAAGUGAUAUAAUUUCUAAGUUC